rnacentral:rRNA from 1 species
AAACGUAGGGGCCAAGCGUUAUCCGGAUUUAUUGGGCGUAAAGCGCAUGCAGGCGGCUUUUUAAGUCAGACGUGAAAGCUCCCGGCUCAACUGGGAGAGGUCGUUUGAAACUGGAAGGCUUGAGGAUGGUAGAGGUGAGUGGAAUUCCCGGUGUAGUGGUGAAAUGCGUAGAUAUCGGGAGGAACACCAGUGGCGAAGGCGGCUCACUGGGCCAUUUCUGACGCUCAGAUGCGAAAGCUAGGGGAGAGAACGGGAUUAGAAACCCCGGUAGUCC